GAAGGCUGCUGUUCUUUGCUUUCUAAUAUACAACCUACCCCUGAUAUUUCACAACUUCUCACCUUGCUGAUCAUGUAACUCCUGGAAACAAAGUGCUUUUGGGGGAGGACACAUAUCUGUAGGUCAAAUAAAGAGGGUCUGAAGAACAACUACAACAACAAGGAAGCAAUGCAGAAACAGAAACCUGAAUCAAUAUUCAGUCAAGACCAUUAAUUAUGCAACUCAUUUUGUACUGAUGAAGCUACGAGAGCGGUAGCAGCAGCGUAGGAGGAAAGCAGGGUGCGGUGGCAGCAUCAUGACCUGUACAUAAAGGAAUUUAGCCCCUGACACAGAGAGCGGGUAUAGCAGCGUGCAGGAGCCAGGCACAGCCUACGUAUACACAGCUAUAGGCACCUCAUCACAUGGAUUGCCUCUGUCAUCUGCAGCAGUUUUGCAACUGUGUUUUUUCCGCCCUUUGCAUUGCCUACCUGCAGUGAUGGUACAUCUAGCUACAGUCUGCUCUAUGUAUAUACUGCAGAUCACUGUCUUUCCCAGGGUACAGCAACCCAAGCUUCCUUGUUGGUGUCUAAUAAAGCUGCCUAUUAAUUCCGAUUGCACCGGAGGCUCACGUAUGGCGUUGCCUUCUGUCUAAGGUCACCCUUCGUCUCGCUCCCUUCGGCGAAGGGCCGCUGCAUGGGAACUGCUGGUGUCCCUCUAAGGACGGACUGUACUCGGAUGGCUGUAAGGGAAAGGCCUGCCUUCUUCCUUCACUCCUUCUGUAAGCUAUCCAUGCUGCUUCUGAAUUGCAAAGGUGAGCAGAAAAAAAUAUUGAAAUUGCUGAUUUUGCCUUACCUGGAAAUGCUCUCAUUUGGUCAAGUGUUCCACUGUGAAAUGACUCUCUUCAUUUCGAGCAAGGGGAUGGUGAAUGGCUAGGCUGGAGAAGAUACUUGCCCUCAACUGACCCACACGUAAGCAAGAAGCAAACACUUUGCACUUCAAUGUAUAUGUGGAGACAACAUAGGCAGAGAACUGACAGGCUCGUCUUUAAUUUGCUCAAUAACCAGAGAACGGUACAUAUUGUUACAGUAGCCUUUUGUGCCAUAAAAGCAGGGAGAACAAAUACCAUGUUACAUGUAACUGAAACACAGUGGUCACAUUCACAGCUGUGCCCUUCCCAAAAUCUUUUGCGCUACAACAGUGAGCAUUCUGUGGAGCUCGAGAUAACACAGUAAAGGAAAUGUUGGGAAGUGCUGGCACUCUUACAAAAGAUAAAAACAAAAAGAAAAGGGGGUUUCUUGCAUUACCAAUUGACAUUUUGCAAAGUAACUCCUCUUGAAAAGGAAACCGAAACUUCUGUUAUUCAAAUAGUUUUGUCCCGGUGAACUGAUUCAGACAAUUUGCACUUAAUUCAAGGAAUCAUUUUUACUUGAUAUUUUUUUGGCCAGUAAAUAAGAAUAUAUUUGUUGCUCUGAGUAUUCUGAAGUAUGCUGAGUACAACAUGUGAAGACCUAAGAAAUGGCAUUCUGACAAAGUUAAAUUAGUCUACAGGCUAGCUGUUCGGACGUUGUACGUACCUUUAUUCUUAUUUCCUUUCAUUUUUCUCUUAUUGUUAGCACUCCCUGCUGUCCAGGUCACGAAACCAGUUACUGCAUUUCUCCUCUCCUCAUACCUAAAGCCUCCACAAGUCUUACAACUGUGUUUUUCUCAAAAGUCAGCCUUCUUCCUAGUCAGCACUCUCUCAACACUAGCCUAUGCACUGGUUCUUUCAAGAUCUUCCCCUUUUCUGACCAAAUCUUUUCUCCCCUCUUCGGUUCCAUCUGUCCAAACUAUUGCCAUCAAUACAUUUCUCUUUUCUCACCACUCCAAGAAUGUUCCUGUACUUCUAAAAUCUCAACAUUGACUCAUUUCCCCCAUAAAAUGGAAGCCUGCCUCUUUUCUCAGCUCUGAUUAACUCCAUUACUGCUUAGUUCUGACCUCACCUUCUCUUGGAAAGCCUUUUCGUCUCCAGUGCUGGGAAUGCCUGUGUAUGGGAAGCAGGGGACACUGUUAUUGAUUUACUUCUUUAACUUUCUUCAUCAAAAGGAUGCUCUGAGUCUAAAACGCAUGGUAGAUGAAAUUCCUUCGAGUCACCUCCCUCAUUUGUUUGAGGAAAUGCCUGAAAAUACUUAGAAAACAAUCACCAAAAAGCGUUUAGAACAAAGAUUCAGCACAACUUAAAAGAUUGCGUGCGGUUUCUACCAAAUGAAUGGAGCUGUCUUGAACUUCUGUUAUAUAUCCUUGAGUUUCAGUCCCUGGUUAGACCAGCCGAGGGUUUGCUCCUCGUUGUGAUUAACUGGCCACAAUAUCCAGCAGGCUUUGGGCUGAUUUAGGAAAAACUGAAGCACAUCGUAUUAUUCCCAUUCCUUUUCAUUGCCUCUUCCUGUUCCAGUUCUUAUGGGAGCUGUGGUACCGGAUUCAUAAGAGCAGCAUGUAGUCACGUGGGUUUGUAGCAUUUUGGAGUUGCCUGCAUUCUCCGAUGCCUUUAUGGAGCUUGCUUAAUGCAAGGGGAGCACAGCAGAGGAGCGAAUGCAGACUCCUGUGCUUUCGACUUCGUUUGUAGACCGGUGAGCUCCUAUGGAGUAUGUCAGCUGAGAUCAUAGUUAAUUCAUAAUCUUGACGAUAUUGAGGUUGUCAUAGCCAGCCUUUCCAGAUGCAUAUAUUUCUCUUGAAUUUAUAUGACAAGGUAACACUAAAAUCAGACCUCUUACCACACCAGAGAAAUGCAUGUAUUUCUCAGAGUCUAUCACCACUGAACCAAAAGUAACAAACCUCUGGGAACUCUGGAAGGGGAUAUAUUUAUCCUUUCUGAGUCAUCCAGUCACACAGGGCUCAAGGCUGGUGCUAAAACUUCCAGAAACAUUUGGAAAGCAACCACAGAAAUCAAUCAAACAAACAAAACCCUGGAAAAUAGGUAAGAGGAAGCUAGAGAAGCACAUCGGAGCCAGCACUCACUCUUCAGAACAUCCCUUCUCUGCUCCUUCAGCUUCUGCCACACAUGCCGCCUCCUCCAGCACACCACCUCCAACAUUGCUGGGUUUUUUGCUCACACUUUGGAGGCCUGAUGCCUCCUGAAACUCUGCAAGUGAGGUUGCAAUGACCCUAAAGCUGUCUCUCAAUUAAAUGAUUGAUCUGCUUAUAUUUGUCAAUACUAGUUCAGCUGAAGGAGUUCAACUGCUCCUACGUGUGAAAUCAGCAUUGUCAGGAACAGAUAUAUACCCUUGUACAGACCAGAUUUCAUGAGCAAUUUUCCAAAAGUAACUUGAGUUUCUGGGGUCUGAUCAGGUGAGCUGUGUUGUUUCUCUUCCUUUACCUUUCCCUGGAAGGAGCUCUGUCAACAUGAUGUAUCUCCCUGGCAUCCUACCUACGGCUGACCCUUCUAUGUGGGAGAUCUCUUUCUCAUUCGUCCUCAAAGGAGAGUGGGGAGGAAUUUAAUGAGGUCUGGGUCUGUAUGAGCUUCAGAGAAAUUUGUAACAGUUAUGUCUGUAUUUGUCACUCCUGUGUUUCAGACCAGAGCAGUUUUUUGUUAAUGUUGGCAACUCUGAACAAAGAAAGUCUUAAAGUUAUUAAAUGUAAACUAUGUUAGCCAGCUGAUGGGGAGGAAAAUCCAGACCACUUUAGUGGCGUCUCAGAAUCAUUCAAUUUUAAUUCUCAAAAUUAACAUCAGAGAUAUUUUUGCUGUCUGGAAAAUUUUCACCAUUUAAUUUCUUUUUUUGUGCUUAUCUGUGCCUCACUGUACUGUCUAACUGCAACAUAACUGUGGAUGUGUGUGUGCACACCCCGAUAUAUAGUUAUUGACAGCAUUUGGGAUGUCAGCUCCUGGAUGUUGUAUGUAGCAAAUACGGAUAAGCAGUUUACAGCCUAGUGGGGUCUUAGAGAAUUUGGUCUGGGGGCUCUUGUGGCUCUAGUGCCCAGAAGAAAAGUGCAGUCUGGAAAAAUCUUUUCUGUCUCCCUCUACAAAAUGACUUUGGAGGUUCAGCAGUAAUCUUGGCAGACUGUAAGCUGGCCUGUCUGCUUAAGAAUAUUUACAGCUCAACUUGUCCAAGCUGUUCUCUUUACCACAUCCACCAGGUGAUCUACUGAAAGCAAGGGAAAGAAUCCCAUUAACUUGAGUAGCUGCUGGGAUAAGUCUUUAUUCAACUCAGACGGGAAGGGUGAUUUGCCUACAGAUAAAUAUAACUGAUGACAAAACCAACAAUAAUCCAGCUGGUCAAUGGCUCAAUUUUGAGAAGGAGAAGUACUCCCUUCCCUUUUUUAAAAAUAUAUUGUAACUAUGUGGUAAUGCUCCUAAAUGUUACAGUUUAUAAUACAUUUACUGAAGGAUUCUGGACACUUUCAGUUAAUCACUGGUCCUUCCUUAGUUAGAUCUGAGCAUUCAAAAUGUUAUUGCUUAGAGCAGUGGUGUUUGCUGACUUUGUCACUGAAUUCCUGAAUUUGGCAUCCCAUUGACAUUGUUUCAGUCAUUAACUGCUUAAGAUAGCAACCUUCUGCAUGCUUUUCUGUGUUCUGCUCUUCCUUCUCACCUUCCAGUCCUUGCCCCAUUGACUAAUCCCUUCAUGGCUUGAAGUAUCCUUUUUUUUAAUAAUACCUAUCAUUCAAAUCCAUGUCAUGCAAGUCAGUGGCAAAAGGUGUAAUUCUUGGAGCGUUGCUGACUCUGCUACUUACUUGUAAGAAGAGCUGUGUAAAUAAUGUAAUAUUUUGUUUGCUAGGAAUUCAUAAAAAAUUACUCAGCUCAAAAUUAAAGUGCAUUAAAAAGAAAUCACUCUCUUCAAAAGCAUUAUUUUAAAGGAACAUUCUUAAUUAAAAAUACCUUCCAAUAAAAAAGAAGAAAAAUGUAUUAUUUAAAAUUCUGAGAUGAAACUUAUAUCCUAUUACAGCAUUUCUGUUUCCUUUCCAACGCAAACAAAUUAAACCAGCUCAGUUUUGCUAAGCCUGUAUUUUUGUCCUUGCCACACACACACGCACACAAAGAUUAAAAAAAUCCCCCCGCAUUAAUUUUUCACCUAGUUCUCCCUGUAGUGCUUCUAGAGGUAGGAGUUAAGUGGCCAGCAAUGCCUCCUAGUCUGUCAGGAGUAAUGCUUUUUUAGGCCAGAGAGAAGUUCUGGUCUCCUGCAUACCAAGAGCGUGACAGAAUCACUGAGCUAUCAAAUGAGUUAUUCUGCCAACAUCUUUCUGGUUCACUGAAGAGUAAAUUAAUCCUACGUAAGAGUGCUCCAGCAGGAGAAUAAGAGCAAGCACACACACUGCCAUAGUCAGGUAGUAAGGUGCUUGCCAGGAGUGUAAAUAAUGGAUAAAUAAUUAAUUUUCUUUGGGGAACCUUCAAGGAUCUACUUCUCUGAGUGCUUACGCACACAUGGUGGAACAACUGCAGCAAGGAACUGAGCAGGAGAGCUUCUCCAUGGAAAGAAAACAAGCCCUGGGGCAGGUUGCUCAGCAGCUGCACCGCAGCUCUUUACGACUCACUGGAGACCUGGGAUGUCUGGGACUGGCACCAGUUUCUGGAGUCAGCGCCGAUCAGAAGGUGUCUGGGAGGGAGCUGCUGCAGCAGAAGACAUGAGGACACAUCUUAGGCCACCGUCAUCACCUGGAAAUGAUAGGCUACAGCGACUGAGUCUCUGGCACGCCGACCAGGGGAUGUUACCAGCGCUUCU